AAGACCUUACGCUUUUGGAGCGGCCGAUGUCUGAUUAGCUUGUUGGUGAGGUAAAAGCUUACCAAGGCUUCGAUCAGUAGCUGGUCUGAGAGGACGGCCAGCCACACUGGGACUGAGACACGGCCCASACUCCUACGGGAGGCAGCAGUGGGGAAUUUUGGACAAUGGGGGCAACCCUGAUCCAGCCAUGCCGCGUGAGUGAAGAAGGCCUUCGGGUUGUAAAGCUCUUUCAGCCGGAACGAAACGGUUACGGUUAAUACCCGUGACUACUGACGGUACCGGAAGAAGAAGCACCGGCUAACUACGUGCCAGCAGCCGCGGUAAUACGUAGGGUGCAAGCGUUAAUCGGAAUUACUGGGCGUAAAGCGUGCGCAGGUGGUUUUAUAAGUCARAUGUGAAAUCCCCGGGCUUAACCUGGGAACU
rnacentral:rRNA from 1 species